GGUCAAGCUACAAAGGGCGCAUGGUGAAUGCCUUGGCAUCAGGAGCCGAUGAAGGACGUGAUAAGCUGCGAUAAGCUUCGGGUAGGCGCACAUAGCCUGAGAUCCGAAGAUCUCCGAAUGAGGAAACUCACAUGGGAAACCCCAUGUAUCAUUAAGUGAAUACAUAGCUUAAUGAAGGUAACCCAGGGAACUGAAACAUCUAAGUACCUGGAGGAAGAGAAAGAAAAAUCGAUUUUCUUAGUAGCGGCGAGCGAAAGGGAAAGAGCCCAAACCGGAAACUUGUUUCCGGGGUUGUGGACAUAACAUAAAAGUGGAGGCUAUUGUAACUGAAGAGAACUGGAAAGUUCCACCGUAGAAGGUAAUAGUCCUGUAAGUGAAACGAGAAGACCACGAGUUAUGAUCCAGAGUACCACGAGACACGUGAAACCUUGUGGGAAGCAGGGAGGACCACCUCCCAAGGCUAAAUACUACCUGAUGACCGAUAGUGAAGCAGUACCGUGAGGGAAAGGUGAAAAGAACCCCGGGAGGGGAGUGAAAUAGAACCUGAAACCGUGUGCCUACAACCGCUCAGAGCCCCUUAUGAGGGUGAUGAGGUGCUUUUUGUAGAACGAGCCAACGAGUUACGGUAUGUAGCAAGGUUAAGUACUUAAGGUACGGAGCCGAAGGGAAACCGAGUCUGAAUAGGGCGACUAGUUGCAUGCCGUAGACCCGAAACCGGGUGACCUAUCCAUGGCCAGGUUGAAGCGAGGGUAAAACCUCGUGGAGGACCGAACCACGUUGCUGUUGAAAAAGCAUGGGAUGAGCUGUGGAUAGCGGAGAAAUUCCAAUCGAACCCGGAGAUAGCUGGUUCUCUCCGAAAUAGCUUUAGGGCUAGCGUCGAGUAUGAGUAGUGGAGGUAGAGCACUGAAUGGGCUAGGGGGCAUAGCGCUUACCGAACCUUAUCAAACUCCGAAUGCCACAUACUUUGAGCUCGGCAGUCAGACUACGAAUGAUAAGAUCCGUGGUCAAAAGGGAAACAGCCCAGAUCGUCAGCUAAGGUCCCAAAGUGUAAGUUAAGUGGGAAAGGAUGUGAGAUUUCUAAGACAACUAGGAUGUUGGCUUAGAAGCAGCCAUUCAUUAAAAGAGUGCGUAAUAGCUCACUAGUCGAGAGAUCUUGCGCCGAAAAUGUAACGGGGCUAAACUUACCACCGAAGCUACGGGCUUGAACUAAGUUCAAGCGGUAGGAGAGCGUCGUAACCGGGCUGAAGUCGUACCGUAAGGAGCGGUGGACUGGUUACGAGUGAGAAUGUUGGCAUCAGUAGCGAGAUGUGGGUGAGAAUCCCACAGGCCGAAAACCUAAGGUUUCCUCAGGAAGGUUCGUCCGCUGAGGGUUAGUCGGGACCUAAGCCGAGGCCGAAAGGCGUAGGUGAUGGACAACUGGUUGAUAUUCCAGUACCACUACCAUCGUUAUUAUCGAUGGCGUGACGCAGGAGGAUAGUGUGUGCUAGCUAUUGGAUGCUAGUCUAAGCGUUUAGGCAGUGAGAGUAGGCAAAUCCGCUCUCAUAAUGCUGAGGCGUGAUGGGGAAGGUUCCACGGAACCGAAGUACAUGAUUCCACGCUGCCAAGAAAAGCGUCUAGAGAGAGAAGUAGUGCCCGUACCGCAAACCGACACAGGUAGGUGAGGAGAGAAUCCUAAGGCCGGCGGAAGAAUUACAGUUAAGGAACUCGGCAAAUUGACCCCGUAAGUUCGCGAGAAGGGGUGCCUACGAGAGUAGGCCGCAGAGAAUAGGCCCAAGCAACUGUUUAGCAAAAACACAGGUCUCUGCUAAAGCGUAAGCUGAUGUAUAGGGGCUGACGCCUGCCCGGUGCUGGAAGGUUAAGGGGAACACUUAGCGCAAGCGAAGGUGUGAACUUAAGCCCCAGUAAACGGCGGCCGUAACUAUAACGGUCCUAAGGUAGCGAAAUUCCUUGUCAGGUAAGUUCUGACCCGCACGAAUGGCGUAAUGACUUGGGCACUGUCUCAACUGUAAAUCCGGCGAAGUUGUAGUGCGAGUGAAGAUGCUCGCUACCCGCGAUUGGACGGAAAGACCCCGUAGAGCUUUACUGUAGCUUAGCAUUGAGUUUUGGUAUUGUCUGUACAGGAUAGGUGGGAGACUAGGAAACCAGGGCGUCAGCCUUGGUGGAGUCAACCUUGGGAUACCACCCUGACAGUACUGAAAUUCUAACUGGCGGCCAUGAAUCUGGUCACAGGACAUUGUUAGGUGGGCAGUUUGACUGGGGCGGUCGCCUCCUAAAAAGUAACGGAGGCGCCCAAAGGUUCCCUCAGAACGGUCGGAAAUCGUUCGAAGAGUGCAAAGGCAGAAGGGAGCCUGACUGCGACACCCACAAGUGGAGCAGGGACGAAAGUCGGGCUUAGUGAUCCGGUGGUACCUCGUGGGAGGGCCAUCGCUCAACGGAUAAAAGCUACCUCGGGGAUAACAGGCUGAUCUCCCCCAAGAGUCCACAUCGACGGGGAGGUUUGGCACCUCGAUGUCGGCUCGUCGCAUCCUGGGGCUGAAGUAGGUCCCAAGGGUUGGGCUGUUCGCCCAUUAAAGCGGCACGCGAGCUGGGUUCAGAACGUCGUGAGACAGUUCGGUCCCUAUCCGUCGCGGGCGUAGGAAAUUUGAGAGGAGCUGUCCUUAGUACGAGAGGACCGGGAUGGACUGACCUCUGGUGUACCAGUUGUUCCGCCAGGAGCACAGCUGGGUAGCUAAGUCGGGAAUGGAUAAACGCUGAAAGCAUCUAAGCGUGAAGCCAACCUCAAGAUGAGAUUUCCCAUAGCGUAAGCUAGUAAGAUCCCUUGAAGAACACAAGGUUGAUAGGUCGGGGGUGUAAGCAUGGUAACAUGUUCAGCUGACCGAUACUAAUAGAUCGAGGGCUUGACCAAAUAUAGUAAAUUAAAUAUGUGCAAUUUUGAAAGAACAAAAACUUUCAAACAUCUGGUGAUGAUGUUCUUUAGGGUAACACCCGUUCCCAUUCCGAAC
rnacentral:rRNA from 1 species